GGAAUGUGGCUCGGUGGUAGAGUGCUUGCCUAACAUGCACGAAGCCUGAGGUUCAAUUCCUUAGUUCCA
rnacentral:tRNA from 1 species